CAGCAGCCGCGGUAAUACGUAGGUGGCAAGCGUUGUCCGGAAUUAUUGGGCGUAAAGGGCUCGCAGGCGGUUUCUUAAGUCUGAUGUGAAAGCCCCCGGCUCAACCGGGGAGGGUCAUUGGAAACUGGGAAACUUGAGUGCAGUAGAGGAGAGUGGAAUUCCACGUGUAGCGGUGAAAUGCGUAGAGAUGUGGAGGAACACCAGUGGCGAAGGCGACUCUCUGGUCUGUAACUGACGCUGAGGAGCGAAAGCGUGGGGAGCGAACAGGAUUAGAUACCCCAGUAGUCCCUGUCUCUUAUAC
rnacentral:rRNA from 1 species